rnacentral:tRNA from 1 species
GGUGGCUCAGUGGUAGAGUGCUUGCCUUGCAUGAAUGAGGCCCUGGGUUCAAUUCUCAGCACCA